rnacentral:lncRNA from 1 species
AUUACCCUCUUCUUUUGGUUUGCCUUAAAGAAUGGUGGGAUAGCAUCUCAACCUCCUUUCCCCUCUUUUGGAUCAUUGUGGCUUAUCUCUAUUGGCACUUGUGAAAAGCAGGCAACCAUUUGGGUUUUGGUAAUGCUUCACCUGAUCCGGUUGGGGUAUGGGAAGUCGCGCUUCACGAUUUCACGUUUCGAAAUGACUA